GAUGAAGAACGUAGCGAAAUGCGAUACGUAAUGUGAAUUGCAGAAUUCAGUGAAUCAUCGAAUCUUUGAACGCAUAUUGCGCUCUCUGGUAUUCCGGAGAGCAUGCUUGUUUGAGUAUCAGUAAACACCUCAACUUCCAUAUCUUUUUUUGAAAUGGGAGUUGGACUUGAGUGAUCCCAACGCUUUUCCUCACCGAAAAGUGGCGGGUUACUUGAAAUGCAGGUGCAGCUGGACUUUUCUCUGAGCUAUAAGCAUAUCUAUUUAGUCUGCCUAAAAAACAGAUUAUUACCUUUGCUGCAGCUAACAUAAAGGAGAUUAGUUCUUGUGCUGACUGAUGCAGGAUUCACAAAGACAGCUUCGGCCGACUUUGUAAACUCGAUCUCAAAUCAAGUAAGACUACCCGCUGAACUUAAGCAUAUCAUAGCGGAGGA
rnacentral:misc_RNA from 1 species